GGCGCACGGGUGAGUAACACGUGGGUAUCUACCCUCUGGCGGGGGACAACAGCUGGAAACGGCUGCUAAUACCGCAUAAGUCCGCUUCGGCGGGGAAAGGUGGCUUCGGCUAUCACCAGAGGAUGGGCCCGCGUCCCAUCAGCUAGUUGGUAGGGUAAUGGCCUACCAAGGCUACGACGGGUAGCUGGUCUGAGAGGAUGAUCAGUCACACUGGAACUGAGACACGGUCCAGACUCCUACGGGAGGCAGCAGUGGGGAAUAUUGCGCAAUGGGCGAAAGCCUGACGCAGCGACGCCGCGUGAGUGAUGAAGGCCUUCGGGUCGUAAAGCUCUGUGGGAGGGGGACGAACACCCUGUGGGAAUAAUACCCUGCAGGUCUGACGGUACCCCUCCAGAAAGCAUCGGCUAACUCCGUGCCAGCAGCCGCGGUAAUACGGAGGAUGCAAACGUUGUUCGGAAUCACUGGGCGUAAAGCGCAUGUA
rnacentral:rRNA from 1 species